rnacentral:rRNA from 1 species
UGGCGGACGGGUGAGUAACGCGUGAGGAACCUGCCUUUCAGUGGGGGACAACAGUUGGAAACGACUGCUAAUACCGCAUAACGUACGGGUAUCGCAUGGUAUCUGUACCAAAGAUUUAUCGCUGAGAGAUGGCCUCGCGUCUGAUUAGCUAGUUGGUAGGGUAACGGCCUACCAAGGCGACGAUCAGUAGCCGGACUGAGAGGUUGGCCGGCCACAUUGGGACUGAGAUACGGCCCAGACUCCUACGGGAGGCAGCAG